rnacentral:rRNA from 1 species
CGACCGGCGCACGGGUGAGUAACACGUAUGCAACCUGCCCUCUUCAGGGGGACAACCUUCCGAAAGGGAGGCUAAUCCCGCGUAUAUCGGUUUCGGGCAUCCGAGAUCGAGGAAAGAUUCAUCGGAAGAGGAUGGGCAUGCGGCGCAUUAGCUAGACGGCGGGGUAACGGCCCACCGUGGCGACGAUGCGUAGGGGUUCUGAGAGGAAGGUCCCCCACACUGGUACUGAGACACGGACCAGCUCCUACGGGAGGCAGCAG